UACGUAGGGCGCAAGCGUUGUCCGGAAUUACUGGGCGUAAAGGGCGCGUAGGCGGCCUUCUAAGUCGAACGUGAAAUCCCCGGGCUCAACCCGGGAACUGCGUCCGAUACUGGAAGGCUUGAAUCCGGGAGAGGGAUGCGGAAUUCCAGGUGUAGCGGUGAAAUGCGUAGAUAUCUGGAGGAACACCGGUGGCGAAGGCGGCAUCCUGGACCGGUAUUGACGCUGAGGCGCGAAAGCCAGGGGAGCAAACGGG
rnacentral:rRNA from 1 species